rnacentral:rRNA from 1 species
CGGUUAUACCAAGUGAUUAAGUUAUAUAUUUAGGUAAAAAGAUAGUUAAGCAUAGAAGUAAUUAGUUUAUUGAUCGCUUAUAUAAAGGUAAAAUUUGCUCAUAAGAAGCUAAUCUAGAAAUAACUUUAAUGCUGAAGCUAUGAUAAUCUCGAGGGAAACUGGGAUUAGAUACCCCACUAUUCUUGAUUGUAAAUGAAAAUUAAUUUACCAGAGCACUAUGAAUAAUUAAAAAUUUAAAACUCAAAGGGCUUGGCGGUGUUCUAGACCUAUCAGGGGAACCUGUCUCAUAAUCGACAAUCCACGAUAUACCUAACCUUAUUUUGUAUUUCAGUUUGUAUACCGUCGUCGUCAGGUAACUUUUAAAAAUAUAGAAGUUAGCAAUGUAAAUUUAAUAAGUUAAGACGUCAGAUCAAGGUGCAGCUUAUAGUAAGGACGAGGAUGGGUUACAAUUAUAAUAAUUAUAACUACGGAUAUUUAAGUGAAAAUAUUUUGAAGGAGGACUUGAAAGUCAAUUCUAUUUAUAUAUAAAUUAAUUGAAUAAGGCUCUG